AUUGAACGCUGGCGGCAGGCCUAACACAUGCAAGUCGAACGAGUGGCGGACGGGUGAGUAAUGUAUGGGAAACUGCCUGAUGGAGGGGGAUAACUACUGGAAACGGUAGCUAAUACCGCAUACUAUCAGAUGUGCCCAUAUGGGAUUAGCUAGUUGGUGGGGUAACGGCUCACCAAGGCGACGAUCCCUAGCUGGUCUGAGAGGAUGACAAGCCACACUGGAACUGAGACAAGGCCCAGACUCCUACGGGAGGCAGCAGUGGGGAAUAUUGCACAAGGGGGGAAAGCCGGAUGCAGCCAUGCCGCGUGUAUGAAGAAGGCCUUCGGGUUGUAAAGUACUUUCAGCGGGGAGGCGGUACCUGCAGAAGAAGCACCGGCUAACUCCGUGCCAGCAGCCGCGGUAAUAC
rnacentral:rRNA from 1 species